AACAGGGAACCCGAGGCCAAAUGCCCACUUGCCCAAUUUUGUUUUUUUUUUUUUUUGAGACAAGGUGUCUCCAUGCAGUUCAGGUUGGCUUUGGACCACAUAGCCCAGGCUGGCCACGCAACUCGCAGCGAUCCACCUGCCUCUGCCUCCCGAGUGCUAGGAUUGUACCAGCGUGUGCCACCACGCCCAGCUCCCAAGAUAACAUUUUGGUCCGAAGAAAAACUGCCAAUCUGUGUCUCUUUUAAGCCCCACAGAAUGGAAAUGGCCUAUAAUAAGAAAUUAAGCCAGGGCGGGAGUCCCAUGAUCCGUGUGUUUUUAAAUGCGUCUCUCUGGAUCGCCGGCCCUUCCCGCCGCCGCUGUGUGGUCCGCGCCUUUCUCGGAUUCUCAUGGUAAUGAAGGCAUCCAUCUUCCGACGCGGCGGCCCGGAUCACCGCACAAUGGGCCGGGCCGGCCCCGCCACCUGUCAGAUUUUCCCAGGAAGGAGGACGGGAUGGGGAGUCAGGCAGCGACCGCGGCUGUCCCCGCCCCAGCCCAGGCCUCUGCGUCCUCUCUGCAAACCCGAGUUGAUGGUGCUGAAGUUAGGCAGCCCACAGGGUCCGGCGGCGGUGGUGGUGACAGGCUCGGGACGGGGGACUGCCCGACAGAUGGAGAGCAGCGGGGACAGAAGGAAAUGCAGGACGGGGCUGUGGCUCUGCGAGAGCUUGCCUGGCCUGAGGAGGCCCCAGGUUCCAUCUCCAGCAACAUGAAAGAGGAGAAAGGGGCCGGGGAUUCAGCUCAGUGGUUCUGCCGCCUGCCUCGAAAGCGCAAGGUCCCGAGUUCGAUCCCCGGUACCAAAAAAAAAAAAAAAAAGAAAGAGAAAGAAAAUAAAAAGGAAGAAAAGAAACUCCAGCGAUCACCGGUUUGGGGGGACUUUAGCUGAACCCGGCUGGCCGGCGCACAUUGCGUCAUUGUUGCUGUGUCCCCACCACAGCCCUAUCCGCGGCACUAUCAGGGUCCCCAGAUCAUCUGCCUGCGUGGCACUGCAAGCCCCAGCACAGCAGGGCCCAGAUUUGACCCAGUUUUGACCCUCCCCAGAGCCUGAAAUCUUAGCCACCACAUCGUCAACAUCAUUAUCACAGUUACCAGUGUGAACAAAACAUAUAGUCAAUACUUAAAUCUUUUAAAAAGAUUAAUUACAGUAUAAAACUCAUUGCCAUGAAUGCUCCUCAAAACACUCCCC
rnacentral:lncRNA from 1 species